GGGCAUCCAUAUUUUCAUUUGCUAAAUCUGCUAACUCUAUAUUAAAAGUCACCAUGCAAUCCACUCAAAAGUCUCUCCUUUUUGACCAUCCACAUUACCUAUUCCUAAUAAAACAAUGGAUUGGUUUAUCAGGUCUACCAGGCAUUAACCUAAGCCAUGGGCACUUCGUGAAGCAUGGGGCAUAACAUGGAGGAGUGGCAGGAGGAAACCUGCCACAGAGGAGAAAAACUCUGAGUCCAGAAUCAGAACAUCCUGUUCUAGAACGAGCUCUGCCUCUUACAAAUUGGGCACCUCACUGAACUUCUGUGUCUCACCUUCCUAGCGCAUAAAAUGACAAUUACAGUCCCACUUAGUCCCCUCUCCCAAGCUCUCAGGUGAUCCUCAGCACAGCUCUCCAAGGAAACAUAAUUUGAAAACCAUAUAGGAAGACAUGCCCAUCUGGCAAUGGUAUUAUUGUUCCUUAUGGGAAGAAAUGAGAAAAAGACUGAGCCGCCAGGUAGAGGGUGCUGGGCAAGGGAAGGAAAGUCCUCAGAUGGCCUUUGCCCAUCUAUCUUGCCCCUCACUGCCAUUAGCAACACCUGCUGUCAUCAGACCUGCCCACUUCCACCCUGACAAAUUGCAUUUCAAACCAUUAUCGGUCAAUAGCGUUUAUUUUUGGACAUUGCCAUCAUGAGUACCCCAGGCACCACCAGGCUCUGUGAUGUCAGCGUGGCUGAGCUUGGCCUGGUCAAUUCUCAAAGGAGAAACUGCCAAGGGGAUCGUGGGAGGGCACAGUGAUAUGAGACCCUGUCCUCUGAGCCAACUCCAAUGACAGCCGGGGAAAAACAGGGGACUGUGGCAGACCCAGAAAGAAAACUCCAGAGAUGGAAAACUAUGAUCCUUUGCACUAUGAAAUAAGCUAGAGCACAACUGAAUGUCUGCUUGGAACACACGACAUCCACAGAAACAUCUUUAAACACAGAAGGUCUUCUCCAAGCUCAUCUCUGGUGAUAGGACAACAGUGGGCCUCAAGCUUCUCCAGCCAGUAGCAGACCAGAUCUGGUUUCAACAAACUUGGAACUCUCCAAGCCCUUUCCUGCUGUGAACUGAUUUAUUUGGAUCCAUCUGUCAGAGCGUGACUGAAGAGUGUCCGGCCAGCUAGCAGCCCAGCUGCAGCAGAUGUUGUCUCAGAAUGCCCUGCGAGGUGAGGCUCAUAUGGAUUUUACCUGCCCGUUCCACUUGUUCUCCUUUUGCCCUCCUGGGAAAGAGUUGGAAAGGGGUUGAGAACAUCUGCAUGACCCAUGAGAACCAGGAAAGUUAACAGGGCAUCUUGGGGGCCACAGAGCACUAAGGAGGCAGGCGUGCUGGUGCAGCAAAUGGCGGUGACCCUGGCUCUAGCCUAUGAUUGUACAUAUAAAAUAAAUGUUGCUGAUACAAGGGCAUGUACAAUUUAUUAAUAAUAAAAUAAGCAACACUCUAUUGUAAGUUCCGUAUGACCAAUGGAUUCUCACAGAACGCUUUUGUGAAUUUUUGCCAAACUCUUGUGUCUAUAGUGAGUUUAUCAUUGCAGUUCAACUAUGAUUUGACAAACGGCUGUGUUUGGCAACAGCUUGUGAAACUUUAGACAAUUUAAAAAUUGGGACCCAGUAGAAGCUGGGUCCCGUAUCCCACUGAGGCAGUACCUUGAGUGGACCCACAAGGGUAGGGGCUGUGCUUGUCUAUCUGUGUCUGCAGCACUCAUCACAGAACAACACAGUCAGCCAGUCACAGUUCAGCAUUCAAGCUGUUCCCUGAAUUGGACCUGCUCGCCUUAAAUCACCCAAAGAAGAAAGCCAAGCAAGCAGGAUCUGAUAAAGUAAGAGUAGGUGUCCACAGGGAGCAGGGCCAGGGACUGAUGGUGGCAGGUGGUGGGUAGCCAGUAAGACUCCAUAGACUGGUUCAGAGUUUGGAGAGAAGCAGCAGGCAUGGAAUGGGGAGAGCAGGAGCCAGGGAGGGCAUUCCUGGUGAGAGGGAUGGCACGAGGAAAGGCACGGGACAAACGGCUGCCUUUCCCAGCACGCAGAUCACUUAGAUACCGUCACUAAACCAAUGUUUAUCGUCCACUGUGUGCAAAGCACUGUUCUAAAUUAAGCAAAGUCCCUGCUCUCGUGGAGAUUAAAUUCUACCAGGAAAGAGACCCAACAUACAGCAAACAAGAACCCUCCAUGGUGGAGAAUGCUACGAGACAACAGCUUUUAUUUCAAUAUAAGGAAGAACUUGAUGUGGAGCCUAAUCGCCAGGAAUGUUAAACAGGUGCUUCUCAAAGAAAAGUCAAGUACGGCUAAGCAAAGAAAACCAGGUACCUUUCAAACACGGCUUCUCAGGGUCCUGGUGCUCAUGGCCGUCAGGAGUCACCAGCAGGAGCUGAUGGGCUGUAGUGCUUGUCAAACUUGCUUCACGGAUGGAAGAAAACAAAAACAUGAGUUGGGCUCCCAGGUGGAGAGCCAGAAAGUCUGACAUCCUGGGCAGCCAGUGUAGGGAUGUUAGAGCAAGUAGUCAGGCAGAUACAAGCAGGGCUGGAGAGGGGUCCCUCCGACCAGCAAUGUCCAGUGACCAUCAGGUGAUUGUCAGGCAGUUGCUACACUGUCUCUCUAAGAUAAUAACUGGUCACAGCUGGUGCCAAGAAAAGGCAGUCUCCCCAUAGAUAGAAAACACCUGAAGCUGGUGAUCAGCAGCAGCUUCCUCAUAAGAUCUCAGGAGUUAGGCGAGUGGGCCCACGCAUGAGCUCUCAGAGGCAAAAUGGCCAACUUUAACUGAUCUAUGACCCUCCUCUAGGAACACUCGCCUGGUAAGGGAAAAAUGCCUCAAAUGAGCAAGUACACAACUUCAGUAAACUCACUGCACAUACGACCCCUCUUAGGUGCUGGCAGGCCACUGUGCAUCCUAAUAUGUCCGGAAUUGGUGGGUUCUUAGUCUCACUGACUUCGAGAAUGAAGCCAAGGACCCUCACGGUGAGUGUUACAAUUCUUAAAAGGCAGCGUGUCUGGACUUUCUUCCUUCUGGUGGGUUUAGUGGCCUUGUUGGCUUCAGGAGUGAAACUACAGAUCUUCGCAGUGAGUGUUACAGCUCUUAAUGCCGCGCGUCUGGAGUUGUUCGUUCCUCCCAAUUGGUCUUGAUGGCUUCAGGAGUGAAGCUGCAGACUUUCACGGUGAGUUCUUACAGCUCAUAAGGGAAGUAUGGACCCAAACAGCCAGCAACAAUGAGUUAUUACAAAGAAAGAAAGAACAAACCCUCCACAGUGUGGAAGAGAACCCGAGCAGGUUACCACUGCUGGCUUGGCAGCCUGCUUUUAUGCUCUUAUCUGGCCCCACCCACAUCCUGCUGAUUGGUCCAUUUUACAGAGAGCCGAUUGGUCUGUUUUACAGAGAGGUGAUUGGUCCGUUUUGACAGGGUGCUGAUUGGUGCGUUUACAAUCCCUGAGCUAGGCACAGAAGUUCUCCACUUCCCCACUAGAUUAGCUUGAUACAGAGUGCUGAUUGGUGUAUUUACAAACCUUGAGCUAGACAGAGAGUGCUGAUUGGUGCAUUUACAAACCUUCAGCUAGCUACAGAGUGCCAAUUGGUGUAUUCACAAUCCCUUAGCUAGACAUAAAGAUUCUCCAAGUCCCCACCAUACUCAGGAACCCAGCUGGCUUCACCCAGUGGAUACCACACUGGGGCUGCAGGUGGAGCUGCCUGCUAGUCCUGCACCAUGUACCCGCACUCCUCAGCCCUUGGGCUGUCAAUGGGACUGGGCACCCUGGAGCAGGGAGCAGCGGCCCUAGGGGAGGCUCAGGCGCGCAGGAGCCCACGGUGGGGGCGGGGGCGUGGGCGGGGUCGGGGAGGCUUAGGCAUGGCCUGCUGUAGGUCCGGAUCCCUGCCCGGCAGGGAGGUAGCUAAGGCCCGGCGAGAAAUUGAGCACAACAGCUGCUGGCCCACGUGCUAAGCUCCUCACUGCCCAGGGCCCGCGGGGCCAGCCGGCAGCUCCGAGUGCGGGCCCCCCAAGCCCACGCCCACCCGGAACUCGCACUGGCCCGCAAGUACCACACGCAGCCCCGGUUCCCGCCUGCGCCUCUCCCUCCACACCUCCCAGCAAGCUGAGGGAGCCGGCUCCGGCCUUGGCCAGUCCAGAAAGGGGCUCCCACAGUGCAGCCGCAGGCUGAAGGGCUCCUCAAGCACGGCCAGAGUGGGCGCCAAGGCCGAGGAGGUGCCAAGGGCUGCGACAGCUGCCAGUAGGCUGUCACCUCUCACUAACAGCCCACCCCAAGGGAAGAAUCAGGGGAGAAGAAGUGCAAACUCUGGAACCUUCCAAGGUAUAAAACCCCAAGUCAAGGACAGAACAGGGCACUUGGACCUCUAAAGUUGCUUGUUGGCCCUCUAACAAGUGUACUUUACUUCUUUUCAUUCCUGCUCUAAAACUUUUUAAUAAACUUUCACUCCUGCUCUAAAACUUGCCUCAGUCUCUCCCUCUGCCUUAUGCCCCUCAGUCGAGUUAUUUCCUCUGGAAAGGCAAGAAUCGAGUUGCUCCAAACU
rnacentral:lncRNA from 1 species